rnacentral:rRNA from 1 species
AUUGAACGCUGGCGGCAGGCCUAACACAUGCAAGUCGAACGAACCCUUCGGGGUUAGUGGCGGACGGGUGAGUAACACGUGGGAACGUGCCUUUAGGUUCGGAAUAACUCAGGGAAACUUGUGCUAAUACCGAAUGUGCCCUUCGGGGGAAAGAUUUAUCGCCUUUAGAGCGGCCCGCGUCUGAUCAGCUAGUUGGUGAGGUAAAGGCUCACCAAGGCUACGAUCAGUAGCUGGUCUGAGAGGAUGACCAGCCACAUUGGGACUGAGACACGGCCCAAACUCCUACGGGAGGCAGCAGUGGGGAAUCUUGCGCAAUGGGCGAAAGCCUGACGCAGCCAUGCCGCGUGGAUGAUGAAGGUCUUAGGAUUGUAAAAUCCUUUCACCGGUGAAGAUAAUGACUGUAGCCGGAGAAGAAGCCCCGGCUAACUUCGUGCCAGCCGCCGCAGUAACAC